UUAAGUCAGGCAACAAGCGAGACCCACGCCCACAGUUGCCAGCGUACUCUCCGGAGUGACGGGUACACUGUGGGGACCGCCGCUGCUAAAGCGGAGGAAGGAAUGGGCAACGGUAGGUCAGUAUGCCCCGAAUAUCCCGGGCUACACGCGAGCUACAAUGGUUGGUACAAUGGGUAUCUACCCCGAAAGGGGAUGGAAAUCUCCUAAAACCAAUCUUAGUUCGGAUCGAGGGCUGCAACUCGCCCUCGUGAAGCUGGAAUCCGUAGUAACCGCGUUUCGAUAGAACGCGGUGAAUACGUCCCUGCUCCUUGCACA
rnacentral:rRNA from 1 species